rnacentral:rRNA from 1 species
CACGGGUGAGUAACACGUAUCCAACCUGCCGUCUACUCUUGGACAGCCUUCUGAAAGGAAGAUUAAUACAAGAUGGCAUCAUGAGUCCGCAUGUUCACAUGAUUAAAGGUAUUCCGGUAGACGAUGGGGAUGCGUUCCAUUAGAUAGUAGGCGGGGUAACGGCCCACCUAGUCUUCGAUGGAUAGGGGUUCUGAGAGGAAGGUCCCCCACAUUGGAACUGAGACACGGUCCAAACUCCUACGGGAGGCAGCAUG